rnacentral:rRNA from 1 species
GGAUUAGAUACCCUGGUAGUCCACGCCGUAAACGAUGAGUGCUAGGUGUUGGAUCCUUUCCGGGAUUCAGUGCCGCAGCUAACGCAUUAAGCACUCCGCCUGGGGAGUACGACCGCAAGGUUGAAACUCAAAGGAAUUGACGGGGGCCCGCACAAGCGGUGGAGCAUGUGGUUUAAUUCGAAGCAACGCGAAGAACCUUACCAGGUCUUGACAUCCCGAUGCUAUUUCUAGAGAUAGAAAGUUACUUCGGUACAUCGGUGACAGGUGGUGCAUGGUUGUCGUCAGCUCGUGUUG